AGAGAUGUGCUUACCGUUAACUCCUAGAAGGCCAAAGCACUCUCCCCGGGGUAUCCCAAUACAGAGGUGAUCCACAGCAGUUCUAUCGGAUCCAUGGUACACCUACAGAAAACAUCAAAACAAAUACGAUCGUUUAGGGAAAUAUCAGGGAUAUACAACUAAUGACAUAUGAGAAUUUGUCUGAACAACUCGCCUUAUGUCACUAUAUAAUGCCUAUUAUCACCGGCCAGUUUCUUUAGUCCAGCAACGAUUUACCUUUGUGAGAUCCUUGACAAUCACCGACUCCUUCUUGAUCUGUUCUGGGUUGAGUGAGUGAACACGGGCUCGUUCCCCCGCCACAUCACAGUCCUGAGAGGUCCAAGGACAAAUGGGAAUUAGUCUAUAAGCUUAGACGUCACAGGCGCCACGAUCACGUGGCAUAGAUAUCACUGACGCCGGAGCUCGAAGGAAUGGCAAGUGAUAGAAACAACGUUGAAUCUAUGGCUAACGGUGAACACACGCAGCACGCGCCUAAAUACCCCCAAAGGUGGGUGAAAAUAAGCAGAAAACCUCGGUACGCCAAAGUACGCUGGAUCUUCGAGCAUGAAAACAACUGUACAAACCUCGUUCGGCCGACCCUGUUUCUUGUCGUCUUCUGGCAUCCGAACACGUGCACCAAUAAAAAAGUUCACCUAAAAAAAUAAACAUCAGUGGCCUUUGCUACAAAGCAAGUAGAGAAUGCUACAAGAGGUGCGGAUAAAAGGUUUGUACGGCCACAGUUCAAUAUGUCAGAUACAGAGGAUGUUGUCUUCGUCAAAUUAAUUUUGCUAGAGACUUUGUUGUUUGAGAAAGACUUAUCGAAAUUUGGAACUGGCUUUUGACAGUUCAGAUCUGAUUCGGUUUUAUUUAGUUGCGACAUUACCAUUCGGUACAGGGCACCUUUUACUAUCUGGCAGAAAUAAUUCGGACGUUUUGUGAAGACUAUAUAGAUAAUUAUUUUCUAUCAAUUAGUGUUUUCUACGACGUUUUGGCAAUGCUGCACCUUCAUCGGGAAUUUCUGAUGAUUCCUUAAAAAUAAGGCAGCAUAACCAUCGUCUUUUAAGACGAUGAAGUUAAACUUCUUACCACCUGAACAAUCCCCAAUUACUACUUUAUAGAAUAUAUAAUAGAAAGUAAUUAUUCAUAUAGUAUUAGCAUGUGGAUCACUGGACGGGCCCAACAACACUACAGACUUUUUUUUAGUGACAAAGGGUGACGUCUGCGAACCUGUAUUAGUAGAGUGAGGAUGAAGAGCACCACGGCCUCCACGGCCAUGUAAAGAGCGUGUUGACCGACGCCAGGCCUGUCCCAGUUCAGGGAGGAGUCUGUGAACUGGAUCCCGUUAUCUCUACAUGAUUCAACUGUCCUGAAACACGACACAAGUGUCAUCACACAUUGUAAAUGACAUGGCGCGGAAGAUGCGCGUAGUAAGAUUCAGGGAUGGGAUACGACAAAGGAACACAGCCAGCAACAUGCCCUGAGGGUACAGAAACGAGUGAGAUUAUCGUAUGAUUGCCAAGCUGGCUCUUUUGUUCUCAUGCCGGAUCCUGUCGUGGCGUAUCUGGUAGAGGGAAGGGGGAUCGCCGUUAUGAACGCUGUCGCAACGUGAAGUCUCGUCGUAUUAAUUUCACCCUGUAUCCUGUUGUGUCGUAUCCCAUUAAAGCAUGUAGAGUAUUGUGGCAUCGUGCCGAAUAUUGUGUUAUACCAUAUCACAAUAUAUCCUGUGGUGUGUCAUAUCGUGUCGUAUCCUGAAGCGUUGUGUCGAACGCGUUGAUAUUAAAUGUCGGAUGUCACAUGUCCCGCUGUAUCGUGUAGCGUUGAAUCGAGUCGUGUCGUACAUCACCAUUUCGUGCACAUCACCCUGCACCCUGACGUGCAUCCACAGGGUUACCAACCUCUCAAUCAGUCUCCAGUCAAUCCCAGUAACUAGCUCGAAUAUUCUUUUUAGAGGCAUCAAGUAAGGCGGAAUCCCUCAACUGCUCAAACGUUAGAAAUACCGCUUAUUCUGAAUAAAUACACACCACAAAGCAAAGAGAGUUUAUUGUAACCUUUAUUUUAGGAUAUAAGACAUUUAUAGGACAAUUACAGGUGGUGAUCAAUCGUGAAAACAUUCGAGCUAGUUACUGGGAUUGACUGGAGACUGACUGAGAGGUUGGUAAGCCUGUGGCGCAUCCUGUGCUCUCGCCAUUUCUGGCUGUUAUUAUGGCAGUCGUUCCACGUCAUGUCGUAUCGCAUAAUGCCAUUACAUGUUGCCUGCAUCCAGGAGAUAUCGGCGGCACGGUCAUGGCACAAUAUAGAUAGUUCUUUACACUAACGUGCAUCUAAACAGUACGUAAAUAUGUACAAACGUGUAUCAAAUUAACUGUUUACUUACAAAACUCAUGAUAGACAGCACGAAAACAGUCAUGGCGUAAGCGAUCAGUUGGGACUUGAAGGCAAACGACAUGACGUAAAUGAAAGGUAAGACGACCAGACCAAACAAAAUCUGAAAGGAAAGAAAAAGGCAUGGGUAACAAAGCAUAGCAGCAGUUUAAAAGAAUGUCGAUCAACUUCUCCUUUGUUAUUGUUUAUAACUAAAAAUACAACGGUUUAAUUGCAAGUAUAAUUCAAAAUAACAAUCCACGAUUGAAGUCUGAUGCUUUAUUAAUGAUAUUUGAUUGAAAGUUUCUUGUUUGAAUUAGCCGAUGGAAAAGGAUUCUUUGUGCGACUCGGCAUUGAGCGGGAGCAAAGAAUGGCGUGAUUGGCCUUCUUUAAGAACACUUUAUCGAAGAAAUGUGGAUUUCUUGGAACACUGCGUUGGACUCUUGGAACAUGUUAAUUUUUUUUUUAACCAAAUGUGGAAGAUUCAUGCAAUGAUACGAAAGUUGAAUGAUAUUGAGCAAGGUAGGUGGUAAAAAAAUCACUUUCUCAAAAUUUUCGACAUGAUUGACUGUGGAACAGGUACAACAUUGAGUGACUCUUAGAACACUGUGAGUAUACUAGAACAAUGUGCGACUCUUGGAACUCACCAGCAACAAAAACACAGACCCCAUGUCAUUCUCAAACUCCUCGAUUUGGAACGCAGCGAACAAGAUCAGAAUGAGCAGGCAUGGAACGAGAUAGUUCAAGAAGUCCCAAGUGUAGGUGGCCGACCAGUAGCUGAAUGCAUCCACUCCACUGACAAAUUGUAAGUGCUUAGCCUAUUGUGAAAAAAAAAAUUCCCGGCUUUUUAAGCGUAGCUUAAACAUAAUUACAAUAAUUAACAAUAACAAUAAUUACAAGAAAAUACCCGUCACUUUACAUAAAAGAACACAAAAAUUUAAAUUUAUUUCCUAAUUAUGCUGGAAAAAGGCUUAUAUCCAUCUAUCAUUCUUGUGGUGGUGUUGCUUAAAAGCAACUCAAUUACUAGAGCUUUUUUGUUAUAUUUACAAUGCUAAAUCCCUUCCAGCUUCACGAAUCGAAAUGAACAAAUCACUAAACAGCUCUGACGAAUACGCUAAGGUCGGGUAAACGUGCGUUUCUUUCUCGUGGAAAAAAUCUACUCUAGAUUAAGAUAAAGCCUGGAACACAUAAAAGUUGGGAAGGAGUUCUAGAAUUUUUUAGCGAAAGAUGUCAAGUCUAAGGGGGUUUUGUGUAUUCUUAUCGACGAUGGUUGAUGACGGAGAAACCGUAAUUUCGAAGAUUGUUCUACAGUCUCGUACAAACCCAUUUCGUAUUUGGUACCUUUGAGGUCCUCUCUUGCACCAGAAAAGUGAUAAAACUGGCGGCCAUGAAUGCCAUACCCAUAGACAUGAAAAUAGCCAGGAAGAGCACUGAGAUUGUUGAGGUCACAUUGUCCGCCUGAAAAUAACCGAUAGUAUAUAGUGUAAAAAAGAUAUGUAGUGGUGGUCUACGCAUUGUAGCGCGUUCAACUUUGAUUUUUUUUAAGUGUACGGUAGUAGAUAUUUAUCAAUAUGUUGUACUUUCAUCGUUUCAUUUGUGGUCGCUUUGUGAAUGUGUUUUACCUUCUUCUUGCCAUUGCUUAGAAGUCUACUGUGCCAAUAAAUAUCUCGUUCUGGGCAUUAUUUGGAAGUCUAUUGUGUCAAUAAGUAUCUUGUUCUGGGCAUUGUUUGGAAGUCUACUGUGUUAAUAAGUAUCUUGUUCUGGGCAUUGUUUGGAAGUCUAUUGUGUCAAUAAGUAUCUUGUUCUGGGCAUUGUUUGGAAGUCUACUGUGUUAAUAAGUAUCUUGUUCUGGGCAUUGUUUGGAAGUCUAUUGUGUCAAUAAGUAUCUUGUCCUGGGCAUUGUUUGGAAGAGUAUUAUGUCCAUAAGUUGUACCUUAAUCUGAGCAUUGUUUGGAAGUCUAUUGUGUUAAUAAGUAUCUCGUUCUGGGCAUUGUUUGGAAGUCUAUUGUGUUAAUAAGUAUCUCGUUCUGGGCAUUGUUUGGAAGAGUACUUUGUCCAUAAGUUGUACCUUAUUCUGAGCAUUGUUUGGAAGUCUAUUGUGUUAAUAAGUAUCUUGUUCUGGGCAUUGUUUGCAAGAGUAUUAUGUCCAUAAGUUGUACCUUAUUCUGAGCAAUGUUUGGAAGUCUAUUGUGUUAAUAAAUAUCUCGUUCUGGGCAUUGUUUGCAAGAGUAUUUUGUCUAUAAGUUGUACCUUAUUCUGAGCAUUGUUUGGAAGUGGAUGAUUUGUUGUCUCAAUGCCCUGUUCGGAGUCUCCGCUGAGCUCUGCUAGAAGGAUGUUGCUAAGAGCAUUUAUAGAUGAAGCAAUGAUGUGAUAGCCCUGAAAAACGAAUUGGGUUUAUUAUACACAAAAACGUCGAAAGGUAAAAGAAGUGGUACCUCAACAGAGCUAAGUGGCCUCUAAAUAGAGGUUCAAAAUAAGGCAUUGGA